AUUAAAGCUGUCUCUUUUUUAAAUAUAAAAAUUGUCUUAUAGGUGCAGAGACCUAUAUAUUAAUGAAAGACAAAAAGACCCUAUUGAGCUUUAUUUUUAUCAGGUUUUUAUAGAUAUAUAACUUUUAUACUGUAUCAAAUUUGGUUGGGGCGACAUAGAAAUAUAUAAAUCUUUCUUUAUAUUUUAGAAUUAUAAUUCUAUUAAAGGAUCUAUAUUUUAGAAAACAGAAAUAGUUACCAUAGGGAUAACAGGCUAAUUCUUUUGGAGAGUUCAAAUUGAUAAAAGAGUUUGGCACCUCGAUGUUGGCUUAAGAUAUCCUAUAGGUGUAGCAGUUUAUAAGGGUUGGUUUGUUCAACCAUUAAAAUCUU
rnacentral:rRNA from 1 species